rnacentral:rRNA from 1 species
UCCGGUUGAUCCUGCCGGAGGCCACUGCUAUGGGGGUCCGACUAAGCCAUGCGAGUCAUGGGGCGCCUUGCGCGCACCGGCGGACGGCUCAGUAACACGUCGGUAACCUACCCUCGGGAGGGGGAUAACCCCGGGAAACUGGGGCUAAUCCCCCGUAGGCCUGAGGUACUGGAAGGUCCUCAGGCCGAAAGGGUCUUUGACCGCCCGAGGAUGGGCCGGCGGCCGAUUAGGUAGUUGGUGGGGUAACGGCCCACCAAGCCGAAGAUCGGUACGGGCCAUGAGAGUGGGAGCCCGGAGAUGGACACUGAGACACGGGUCCAGGCCCUACGGGGCGCAGCAGGCGCGAAACCUCCGCAAUGCUCGAAAGAGCGACGGGGGGACCCCCAGUGCCGUGGCAUCGCCACGGCUUUUCCGGAGUGUAAAGAGCUCCGGGAAUAAGGGCUGGGCAAGGCCGGUGGCAGCCGCCGCGGUAAUACCGGCGGCCCGAGUGGUGGCCGCUAUUAUUGGGCCUAAAGCGUCCGUAGCCGGGCCAGUAAGUCCCUGGCGAAAUCCCACGGCUCAACCGUGGGGCUUGCUGGGGAUACUGCUGGCCUUGGGACCGGGAGAGGCG